rnacentral:rRNA from 1 species
UACGUAGGGUGCGAGCGUUGUUCGGAAUUACUGGGCGUAAAGAGUGUGUAGGCGGUGCUCUAAGUUCGGUGUGAAAUCUCCUGGCUCAACUGGGGAGGGUGCGCCCGGAAACUGGAGUGCUUGAGCGUGGGAGAGGAAAGCGGAAUUCCUGGUGUAGCGGUGAAAUGCGCAGAUAUCAGGAGGAACACCGAUGCGAAGGGAG